UCUGCAGCUAUUCUUGAGCUGUAAUCUUAUGCCCCUGUGUAGAAUCUCCUAGCAACAGUCAUCUGUUUACAGGCAAAUCAGCAGAAGGUGAACAAACAACCUGGAGUUACAGCGCUGCGUCUCCUAAGGAUUUUUUCUGUCCAUCACCGCUGUCAGUGACAGUUUCUGUUGCAGCAGCUACAGAUGGCUGAGCAGCAGAGGAUAGUCAAGUGGACUGUUGGAGCACCAGACAGCAGGAGGCGAAUGACCAGCAACCCCAUCAAACUGUACAACACUACGUAUGAGGCUUCGUAUGAUUCAUCUUUCCUCGUAACAGUGGAACGCAAUCCUUGUUGAACUUCAAACCAGCUCUGUAUAGGCCCAGUUUCAGCCACACAGGCAAACCUUCACUGAGACACCUAUUAUUGGACAGUUUCACAUCCCAAACCAAGCGGGAUUAUCGGCCUCGUGAUGGUGGCUUAUGUCAGAUGAGGACUUUCCCUAAAAUAGAUAUGUCUUUUGUGCCCCACCAUCCCGUGACAACAGCUUCUCAAAGCCAUUUGACUGUGGGUCAAAGAGGAGAGUGUGGUUUCACUGAGGGAGCUGACCUUCAUCUAAUGACAUUUCAAGAGAACAAGAGCAACAUGGUUGGACUUCGCCCGACAGGAAAGUCAGUCAUGAAGACUGAUUUCUUGCCGCCAUCACAACUACGGGUUGGCCAAAAGCAGUUUCCUUUUGAGCUUUAAUUGUUAUUAAUGCAAGUAUAAAUGCAAUUUUUAUCUCAUUUAAAAUCUUACGUGUCUUUUUGUGCUUGUGUUGGAGGGGGUAGAGAAAUUUCACGGUAUUUCCAAUCGUGUUUUUCAAGAAUCAGGAUUCACUCAUGAUUAAGAAAAGUGCACCAACAGAAGUCUUCAUUGGAAAAAAGGAACCCUCCGGAUUUGUUCUCAGUACUCCAACCCCACAAGUUUUCCCAAAUACACCAUUCAGAUACUUGGAUUUCAUUACAAAUUAUCAGCACGACUUCUGCCAUCAAGCUGAUGUUACAGCACAGAGAUUUGGGGUCGCCGGUGCAGGCGUCAUCGCAACCAAAAAUGAAAGUGGCUAUAGUCGUCACAACAUGGACAGGUACAUGCACUAAAACUCAUAUGGUUCCAUC